rnacentral:rRNA from 1 species
UACGGAGGGUGCGAGCGUUGUCCGGAAUCACUGGGCGUAAAGGGCGCGUAGGCGGUUCUUCAAGCGUGUGGUGAAAGUCCGGGGCUCAACCCCGGAUCGGCCGUGCGAACUGGGGGACUCGAGCACUGUAGAGGCGGGUGGAAUUCCGGGUGUAGCGGUGGAAUGCGUAGAGAUCCGGAAGAACACCAGUGGCGAAGGCGGCCCGCUGGGCAGUGGCUGACGCUGAGGCGCGACAGCGUGGGGAGCGAACAGG